rnacentral:rRNA from 1 species
AUUGAACGCUGGCGGCAGGCUUAACACAUGCAAGUCGAGCGAGCGGCGGACGGGUGAGUAAUGUAUGGGAAACUGCCUGAUGGAGGGGGAUAACUACUGGAAACGGUAGCUAAUACCGCAUACCAUCAGAUGUGCCCAGAUGGGAUUCGCUAGGAGGUGGGGUAAUGGCUAACCUAGGCGAAGAUCCCUCGCUGGUCUGAGAGGAGGACCAGCAACACUGGAACUGAGACACGGUCCAGCCCCCACCGGGAGGCAGCAGUGGGGAAUAUGGCAAAAUGGGCGCAAGCCUGCUGCAGCCAUGCCGCGUGUGUGAAGAAGGCCUUCGGGUUGUAAAGCACUUUCAGCGAGGAGGCGUUACUCGCAGAAGAAGCACCGGCUAACUCCGUGCCAGCAGCCGCGGGAAUAC